AAACCGAGUCUGAAGAGGGCGUUAAGUUGCAUGCCGUAGACCCGAAACCGGGUGACCUAUCCAUGGACAGGGUGAAGGUGAGGUAAAACUACACUGGAGGCCCGAACCACGUUGGUGUUGAAAAACCAUGGGAUGAGCUGUGGAUAGCGGAGAAAUUCCAAUCGAACUCGGAGAUAGCUGGUUCUCCCCGAAAUAGCUUUAGGGCUAGCCUCGGGUUAGAGACAUGGAGGUAGAGCACUGAAUGGGCUAGGGGCCGUCUAGGUUACCGAACCUUAUCAAACUCCGAAUGCCAUAGUCUUGAUGCCCGGGAGUCAGACUUAGAGUGAUAAGAUCCUAAGUCAAAAGGGAAACAGCCCAGACCAUCAGCUAAGGUCCCAAAGUGCAUGUUAAGUGGUAAAGGAUGUGGGACUUCUAAGACAACCAGGAUGUUGGCUUAGAAGCAGCCAUUCAUUUAAAGAGUGCGUAAUAGCUCACUGGUCGAGAGGUCCUGCGCCGAAGAUGUCCGGGGCUCAAACAUGCCACCGAAGCUAUGGAUUUGGUACCGUUGCUAAUGCUUAUAUGGUAGAGAGGACAGAAAAGAGAGGACAUCUUUAUGCUGCUACGCAGCGAAGCGAAGGAGCAGCAUUAGAUACAACAAGCUAAAACAUGCCAUGUAGGCGAUAGCAACGGUACCAAAUGGUAGGGGAGCUUUCUUAGCGGGUUGAAGUCAGACCGUGAGGACUGGUGGACUGCUAAGAAGUGAGAAUGCUGGCAUAAGUAGCGAGAAAUAGGUGAGAAUCCUAUUCGCCGAAAACCUAAGGUUUCCUCAGGAAGGCUCGUCCGCUGAGGGUUAGUCGGGACCUAAGCCGAGGCCGAAAGGCGUAGGUGAUGGACAAUCGGUUGAUAUUCCGAUACCACCAGCAGCCGUUUGAGAGAUGGGGGGACGCAGGAGGAUAGGCUGAGCACACUGCUGGAUAUGUGUGUUCAAAGCACAAGGUAUGCCUCUUAGGCAAAUCCGGGAGGAUAAGCUGAGUGCUGAUGGGGAGCCGUAAGGCGAAGCAGCCGAUUUCACACUGCCGAGAAAAGCCUCUAUCGAGGAUGCUGGUGCCCGUACCGCAAACCGACACAGGUAGGUGAGGAGAGAAUCCUAAGGCGAGCGGGAGAACCCUUGUUAAGGAACUCGGCAAAUUGACCCCGUAACUUCGGGAGAAGGGGUGCCUACCGAAAGGUAGGCCGCAGAGAAUAGGCCCAGGCGACUGUUUAGCAAAAACACAGGUCUCUGCUAAGUCGAAAGACGAUGUAUAGGGGCUGACGCCUGCCCGGUGCUGGAAGGUUAAGGGGAAAGGUUAGCGCAAGCGAAGCUUUGAACCGAAGCCCCAGUAAACGGCGGCCGUAACUAUAACGGUCCUAAGGUAGCGAAAUUCCUUGUCGGGUAAGUUCCGACCCGCACGAAUGGCGUAACGACCUGGGCGCUGUCUCGACAAGGGACCCGGCGAAAUUGUAGUACAAGUGAAGAUGCUUGUUACCCGCGAUUGGACGGAAA
rnacentral:ncRNA from 1 species